GAGCUUUGGCAGCACACAUACUAAAAUUGGAAUGAUACAAAGAUGAGCAUGGCCCCUGCACAAAGUGACACACAAAUUCGCGAAGUGUUCCAUAUUUUU
rnacentral:snRNA from 1 species